rnacentral:rRNA from 1 species
GACGAACGCUGGCGGCGUGCCUAAUACAUGCAAGUAGAACGCACAGGAUGCACCGUAGUUUACUACACCGUAUUCUGUGAGUUGCGAACGGGUGAGUAACGCGUAGGUAACCUGCCUGGUAGCGGGGGAUAACUAUUGGAAACGAUAGCUAAUACCGUAUAAGAACAUUUACUGCAUGGUAGAUGUUUAAAAGGUGCAAGAGCAUCACUACCAGAUGGACCUGCGUUGUAUUAGCUAGUUGGUGAGGUAACGGCUCACCAAGGCAACGAUACAUAGCCGACCUGAGAGGGUGAUCGGCCACACUGGGACUGAGACACGGCCCAGACUCCUACGGGAGGCAGCAGUAGGGAAUCUUCGGCAAUGGGGGGAACCCUGACCGAGCAACGCCGCGUGAGUGAAGAAGGUUUUCGGAUCGUAAAGCUCUGUUGUUAAGGAAGAACGUGUGUGAGAGUGGAAAGUUCACACAG